rnacentral:rRNA from 1 species
UCUUCCGCAAUGGACGAAAGUCUGACGGAGCAACGCCGCGUGAGUGAUGAAGGCUUUCGGGUGGUAAAACUCUGUUGUUAGGGAAGAACAAGUGCUAGUUGAAUAAGCUGGCACCUUGACGGUACCUAACCAGAAAGCCACGGCUAACUACUUCACAGCAGCCGCGGUAAUACGUAGGUGGCAAGCGGUAUCCGGAAUUAUUGGGCGUAAAGCGCGCGCAGGUGGUUGCUUAAGUCUGAUGUGAAAGCCCACGGCUCAACCGUGGAGGGUCAUUGGAAACUGGGAGACUUGAGUUCAGAAGAGGAAAGUGGAAUUCCAUGUGUAGCGGUGAAAUGCGUAGAGAUAUGGAGGAACACCAGUGGCGAAGGCGACUUCCUGGUCUGUAACUGACACUGAGGCGCGAAAGCGUGGGGAGCAAACAGG